rnacentral:rRNA from 1 species
AUUGAACGCUAGCUAAAGGCUUAACACAUUCAGGUCGCGGGACCGGCGCACGGGUGAGUAACACGUAUCCAACCUACCCUUUACUCGGGGAUAGCCUUUCGAAAGAAAGAUUAAUACCCGAUAUAAAGGAUUGGGAUGCGUUCCAUUAGGUUGUUGGUGCGUUAACGGCUCACCAAGCCUUCGAUGGAUAGGGGUUCUGAUAGGAAGGUCACCGACAUUGGAACUGAGACACGGUCCAAACUCCUACGGGAGGCAGCAGUGAGGAAUAUUGGUCAAUGGGCGCUAGCCUUAAGCAGCCAAGUAGCGUGAAGGAUGAAGGCUUAUGGGUCGUAAACUUCUUUUAUAUACGAAUAUGGAUUAUAUGAAUAAGGAUCGGCUAACUCCGUGCCAGCCGCCGCGGUAAUUC